GUGCUCGCUUUGGCAGCACAUGUACUAAAAAUGGAACCAGAUAGAGAAGAUUAGCAUGGCCCUUGCACAAGGAUGAACCACAAAUUCAUGAAGUCUUUCAUAUUUUU
ensembl:snRNA U6 U6 spliceosomal RNA